UAGGGAAUAUUGGACAAUGGGGGCAACCCUGAUCCAGCCAUGCCGCGUGAGUGAAGAAGGCCCUCGGGUUGUAAAGCUCUUUUGUCCGGAAAGAAAAGCCUCGGGUUAAUACCCCGGGGUUCUGACGGUACCGGAAGAAUAAGCACCGGCUAACUUCGUGCCAGCAGCCGCGGUAAUACGAAGGGUGCAAGCGUUACUCGGAAUUACUGGGCGUAAAGCGUGCGUAGGUGGUUGUUUAAGUCUGAUGUGAAAGCCCUGGGCUCAACCUGGGAAUGGCAGUGGAAACUGGGCAGCUAGAGUGCGGUAGAGGGUAGUGGAAUUCCCGGUGUAGCAGUGAAAUGCGUAGAGAUCGGGAGGAACAUCUGUGGCGAAGGCGACUGCCUGGACCAGCACUGACACUGAGGCACGAAAGCGUGGGGAGCAAACA
rnacentral:rRNA from 1 species